rnacentral:rRNA from 1 species
AUUGAACGCUGGCGGCAUGCCUUACACAUGCAAGUCGAACGGCAGCACGGGAGCAAUCCUGGUGGCGAGUGGCGAACGGGUGAGUAACGCAUCGGAACGUGCCCAGUCGUGUGGGAUAGCCCGGCGAAAGCCGGAUUAAUACCGCAUACGACCUAUGGGUGAAAGCGGGGGACCGAAAGGCCUCGCGCGAUUGGAGCGGCCGAUGUCAGAUUAGGUAGUUGGUGGGGUAAAGGCCCACCAAGCCGACGAUCUGUAGCUGGUCUGAGAGGACGACCAGCCACACUGGGACUGAGACACGGCCCAGACUCCUACGGGAGUCAGCAGUGGGGAAUUUUGGACAAUGGGCGCAAGCCUGAUCCAGCCAUGCCGCGUGCGGGAAGAAGGCCUUCGGGUUGUAAACCGCUUUUGUCGGGGAAGAAAUGCUCCGGGAUAAUACCCUGGGGAGAUGACGGUACCCGAAGAAUAAGCACCGGCUAACUACGUGCCAGCCGCCGCCGUAACAC